CCUACGGGAGGCUGCAGUGGGGAAUAUUGGACAAUGGGGGGAACCCUGAUCCAGCCAUGCCGCGUGUGUGAAGAAGGCCCUCGGGUUGUAAAGCACUUUCAGUGAGGAAGAACGCCUGGUGGUUAAUACCCAUCAGGAAAGACAUCACUCACAGAAGAAGCACCGGCUAACUCCGUGCCAGCAGCCGCGGUAAUACGGAGGGUGCGAGCGUUAAUCGGAAUUACUGGGCGUAAAGCGCGCGUAGGUGGCUUGAUAAGCCGGUUGUGAAAGCCCCGGGCUCAACCUGGGAACGGCAUCCGGAACUGUCAAGCUAGAGUGCAGGAGAGGAAGGUAGAAUUCCCGGUGUAGCGGUGAAAUGCGUAGAGAUCGGGAGGAAUACCAGUGGCGAAGGCGGCCUUCUGGACUGACACUGACACUGAGGUGCGAAAGCGGGGGUAGCAAACAGGAUUAGAUAACCCUGGUAGUC
rnacentral:rRNA from 1 species